rnacentral:misc_RNA from 1 species
GAUGAAGAACGCAGCGAAAUGCGAUAAGUAGUGUGAAUUGCAGAAUUCAGUGAAUCAUCGAAUCUUUGAACGCACAUUGCGCCCUUUGGUAUUCCAAAGGGCAUGCCUGUUCGAGCGUCAUUUGUACCCUCAAGCUUUGCUUGGUGUUGGGCGUCUUGUCUCUAGCUUUGCUGGAGACUCGCCUUAAAGUAAUUGGCAGCCGGCCUACUGGUUUCGGAGCGCAGCACAAGUCGCACUCUCUAUCAUCAAAGGUCUAGCAUCCAUUAAGCCUUUUUUUCAACUUUUGACCUCGGAUCAGGUAGGGAUACCCGCUGAACUUAAGCAUAUCAAUAAGCGGAGGA